AUUGAACGCUGGCGGCAUGCCUUACACAUGCAAGUCGAACGCGAAAGGGGGCAACCCCGAGUAGAGUGGCGAACGGGUGAGCAAUACAUCGGAACAUGUCCUGUAGCGGGGGACAACCUCGAGAAAUCGAGGCUAAUACCGCAUACGAUCUACGGAUGAAAGUGGGGGACCGCAAGGCCCCACACUAUAGGAGUGGCCGAUGCCGGAUUAGCUAGUUGGCGGGGUAAUGGCCCACCAAGGCGACGAUCCGUAGCUGGUUUGAGAGAACGACCAGCCACACUGGGACUGAGACACGGCCCAGACUCCUGCGGGAGGCAGCAGUGGGGAAUUUUGGACAAUGGGCGAAAGCCUGAUCCAGCCAUGCCGCGUGAGUGAAGAAGGCCUUCGGGUUGUAAAGCUCUUUCGGCGGGGACGAAAUGGCGCGGGGUAACAUCCCGCGUCGAUGACGGUACCCGAAGAAGAAGGACCGGCUAACUACGUGCCAGCCGCCGCCGUAAGAC
rnacentral:rRNA from 1 species